rnacentral:rRNA from 1 species
UGAGCAACCUGCCCUUGACUCUGGAAUAACAGUUGGAAACAGCUGCUAAUACCGGAUAUGACCUCCGAUGGCAUCAUCUGGGAGGUGGAAAGCUCCGACGGUCAAGGAUGGGCUCGCGGCCUAUCAGCUUGUUGGUGAGGUAACGGCUCACCAAGGCUUCGACGGGUAGCCGGCCUGAGAGGGCGACCGGCCACACUGGGACUGAGAUACGGCCCAGACCUCUACGGGAG